rnacentral:rRNA from 1 species
ACGAAUGCUGGCGGCGUGCCUCAUCCAUGCCAGUAGCACGCUGAAGGAGGAGCUUGCUCUUCUGGAUGAGUUGCGAACGGGUGAGUAACGCGUAGUUAACCUGCCUGGUAGUGUUGGUUUACUAUUGGAAACGUUAGCUAAUACCGCAUAAUAACAGUUUUUGCAUUACUACUGUUUGAUAUGUGCAAUUUCUUCUCUACCAGAUGGACCUGCGUUGUAUUAGCUUGUUGGUGGGGUAACGGCUCACCAAUGCGACGGUACAUAGACGACCUGAGAGGGUGAUCGGGCAAAAUGGGAAUGAGACAAGGCCCAGAGUGCUACGGGAGGGAGCAGUAGGGAAACAUCGGAAAAGGACGAAAGACAGACCGAGAAACGACGAGUGAGUGAAGAAGGAAUUCGGAUCGUAAAGCUCUGUUGUAAGAGAAGAACGAGUGUGAGAGUGGAAAGUUCACACAGUGACGGUAACUUACAAGAAAGGGACGGCUAACUACGUG